CCGCAGUACUGCGGAAGGAUCAUUA
rnacentral:rRNA from 1 species